rnacentral:rRNA from 1 species
UACGUAGGCAGCAAGCGUUGUUCGGAGUUACUGGGCGUAAAGGGUGUGUAGGCGGUUGUUUAAGGUUGGUGUGAAAUCUCCCGGCUCAACUGGGAGGGUGCGCCGAAUACUGAAUGACUUCGAGUGCGGGAGAGGAAAGUGGAAUUCCUGGUGUAGCGGUGAAAUGCGUAGAUAUCAGGAGGAACACCGGUGGUGUAGACGGCUUUCUGGACCGUAACUGACGCUGAGACACGAAAGCGUGGGUAGCAAACAGG